rnacentral:rRNA from 1 species
CUGGCUCAGGACGAACGCUGGCGGCGUGCCUAAUACAUGCAAGUCGAACGGCUUUUCUAUGGAAGCUUGCUUCCACUGAGAAGAUAGUGGCGAACGGGUGAGUAACACGUGGGUAACCUGCCCAUAAGAGGGGGGAUAACAUCCGGAAACGGGUGCUAAUACCGCAUAGUUUUCUUGAUCGCAUGAUCGGGAAGGGAAAGACGGCCUUUGUGCUGUCGCUUAUGGAUGGACCCGCGGCGUAUUAGUUAGUUGGUGAGGUAACGGCUCACCAAGACGAUGAUACGUAGCCGACCUGAGAGGGUGAUCGGCCACAUUGGGACUGAGACACGGCCCAAACUCCUACGGGAGGCAGCAGUAGGGAAUCUUCCGCAAUGGACGAAAGUCUGACGGAGCAACGCCGCGUGAGUGAAGAAAGGUUUUCGGAUCGUAAAACUCUGUUGUCAGAGAAGAACAAGUUGGAGAGUAACUGCUCCAGCCUUGACGGUAUCUGACCAGAAAGCCACGGCUAACUACGUGCCAGCCGCUGC